GGUUGUCUUCAUAACCCAUGGUGAUUGCGGCGGCAGUUACACGGUGGUGCGAUUGAAAACUGGGGAUUGCGGCAAUUACACAAUGGCUUGCGAUUGAAAAUUGAUAUAGAAUUGGCAAACAGUGAAUUAUAUCAAAUUUAAUUUUGACAGCAACUAGGUAUAUAUAGAUAGGAUAUAGGAGUAUAGGAUAACAAAUCUUUUAUUUAUCAAAUAGAAAGAUAUAUGCUUAACCAAAA
rnacentral:lncRNA from 1 species